AUUUCAGGCCUUCUAGCUUUCUUACUUUGUCAUUUUUCACCUAAACCAGUUCCCAAACACCCCCGAAAUGCUCUUUAAGAGAUCCCAAACCACUCAAGAGAAGAUCCAUAGGAAAAUAACGUAAAUUUUUUGUCGGAAUCCCGUGGUGCUAGUAGAUCGUAGUUUUUCUUCGUUGCUGUUGAUUUAGAGGUUACCCCAAGUUGAAGUUAUCUCAGAUUCGAAUCUGUCUUAGUUGUUUGAGAUUAAGGUGCUGCACGGGCUGCUUUGUUGUGAAGUGAGUCGACGAAGAAUAUCAUCAAGUCAUCUGCAAAGAGUAAAUGAGUCAGCUCUUGAGCCUUACACAUGGGAUGAAAUCUGAUAUCAGUUACACAAGUCAUGAUCAAGUGACAGAAUUUUGGGGGAAAACCAAACCCAUGCAGCAUCUCUGAUACAAACUCCGGCCUUACCAUAUCAUAAGCUUUCCUGAGAUCGAUUUUCAUCAUGCAUCUUGCUGAGGUUUUCUUGUUGUAGUGCCUCAAUAAAUCAUGGCAAAUCAGUACAUUGUGCAGUAAGGACCUGCCCUGGACAAAUCUUUGCAUGUGUUUGGUUCACUAGGUGUGGCAGUACUUGCUUUAAUCUGCUGCAUAAUAGCUUGGAUAUGUACUUAUACACUACAUUACAACAAGCUAUUGGCCUGAACUGGCUUGUAUUUUCAGGUUUGUUUAUUUUGAGAAUAAGUGUGAUCACAGUGGCAUUUAGUUGUUGAAGUAGUUUCCUAUUUCUCAUAAAAUUCAGUACUGCAUCAGUCACCUCCUCUCCUGUUAUGGCCCAAGUAACCCUGAAAAACCCACUGCUAAACCCAUCUGGCCUUGGGCUUUUUGUAGUUUUGAUAUUAAAGAUGGCAUCCUUAACCUCUUUCCUUGUGUACCCUUCAGUAGGCUUACUUGAUGUUCAGCAUUGAGUAAGUUUCCAUUUUUAAUAAACACCUCUGAUAUUUUUUUGUCCAUCUUCUUCCCGGUUUGUUCGGAUCAACAUAUGGAGGAGGUAUUUCUCUCUCUAAAAUCUCCAUAGGAACUUCCCAAGAUUCUUCAGAAGGCACGGGAUUCAUUUCCUCAGAGUAUUCAAUUAUGUAAUUCUCCACCCUAUAAUAUGGAGAUGAGUUGUCAUAAAUCCGCCAUCCAAAGUGUUCACCAUAUUGGACUCGAUGCGCUGCCAUAGCAUAUGGACAAGGUAUUUUAUCCAGGUCAAAAACUCUACAAGUACAAGAUCUUCUUUGCAGAUCGACACUGUAAAUCGAACCGUGGCCGAUGACGCUGAAAUUGUAGUUGGCAAUUUGAUGGGCCAAUAACUUAUUCCCCAAGUUGACAAAUUUUGAUAUUUUUUUUUUUCAUUGAGGGAACAAAGAUGGUUGGUGAGUCGAUGAACUCCAUACGCCUCUCAUGAAAUUUCUCAGUAAACCUCCUGUUUAUGGAAUCAAAUAGAGCAGUAAUGAGAAAUUCUCUUUUAACAU